GGAGUCCCUCCCUCUAAAAGCACUCUGUGUGGGGAACAUGAGAGCCAGACCAAAGCUCAGAGGAAUCAACCUGGACCUCCACCCAGCUCUGUGUCCUCUAAGAGCAAACAGGUGAUGGAUUUCUUUCGUAAUUUCGGGCAGGGAAGGUCAUCUGAGACAAGAGGUCAGAGGUCACAGUCUGCAGGAUCCAGCUGUCUGUCUGUGAGGAGUGACCCGUCUAUACUUCAACCUCCAUGUUUCAGUAAUGAACCUGGACCAACGAGGUCAGAG